AGGUGCUGCAUGGCUGUCGUCAGCUCGUGUCGUGAGAUGUUGGGUUAAGUCCCGCAACGAGCGCAACCCUUGUCAUUAGUUGCUACAUUUAGUUGGGCACUCUAAUGAGACUGCCGGUGACAAACCGGAGGAAGGUGGGGAUGACGUCAAGUCCUCAUGGCCCUUAUAGGUAGGGCUACACACGUCAUACAAUGGAUGAUACAAAGGGUCGCCAACCCGCGAGGGGGAGCCAAUCCCAUAAAGCCAUUCGUAGUCCGGAUCGCAGUCUGCAACUCGACUGCGUGAAGUCGGAAUCGCUAGUAAUCGUGGAUCAGAAUGUCACGGUGAAUACGUUCCCGGGUCUU
rnacentral:rRNA from 1 species